GACGAACCGUGCGAACGUUGUUCGGAAUCACUGGGCUUAAAGGGCGCGUAGGCGGGCUACCAAGUCUGGGGUGAAAUGCCGCGGCUCAACCGUGGAACUGCCUUAGAUACUGACGGCCUAGAGGAAGGUAGGGGCAUGCGGAACUGUAGGUGGAGCGGUGAAAUGCGUUGAUAUCUACAGGAACUCCGGUGGCGAAAGCGGCGCGCUGGAUCCCUUCUGACGCUGAGGCGCGAAAGCCAGGGGAGCAAACGGG
rnacentral:rRNA from 1 species